CCCCUUACGUAAGCAGUCCGGCUGUUGAUAUAACCGGCGGUUGCUAUGGGAACAGGGCCGGUUUGUUUGGCUGGGCCUGGGAAGAGUCAACAUGGGGGACUCUCGGGAGCAGAGAUUUCAGACUUGAGUAUGGAGAUGUAUGAGAUCCUCAGAAAAGUGGGAGAGGGAAGUUAUGGAACCGUAAUGAAAUGUAAACACAAGGAAACAGGACAUAUAGUUGCCAUUAAGAUAUUUUAUGAGAAGCCAGAAAAAUCUGUCAACAAAAUCGCAAUGAGAGAGAUAAAGUUCCUAAAGCAAUUUCGUCAUGAGAACUUGGUAAAUCUGAUUGAAGUCUUCAGACAGAAAAAGAAAAUUCACUUGGUGUUUGAAUUUAUUGACCAUACAAUUUUAGAUGAGCUACAGCAUUUCUCUCAUGGACUGGAUAACAGAAGACUUAAGCGGUACUUGUAUCAGAUUCUUAGAGCAGUUGACUAUCUCCAUAGAAACAAUGUUAUUCACCGAGACAUCAAACCUGAGAAUAUUUUAGUUUCUCAGAAUGGAAUUACUAAACUUUGUGAUUUUGGAUUUGCACGGACCUUAGCAGCCCCUGGUGACAUUUAUACUGAUUAUGUGGCCACAAGGUGGUACCGUGCUCCAGAGCUGGUAUUAAAAGACACUACAUAUGGGAAACCUGUCGACAUCUGGGCUUUAGGUUGUAUGAUCAUUGAGAUGGCCACUGGCAGCCCCUACCUACCCAGCAGUUCUGAUCUUGACUUACUUCAUAAAAUUGUGACCAAAGUAGGCAAUUUGACGCCUCACCUUCAGAGCAUUUUUAUCAGAAGCCCGUUUUUUUCAGGAAUGGUCCUUCCUGAAGUUCAGCACCCUAAAAGUGCAAGGAAAAAGUAUCCCAAGCUCAGUGCACUACUUGCAGAUAUGGUUCAUGCUUGUUUACAAAUGGAUCCUGCAGAUAGGAUAUCAUCUGCUGAUUUACUACAGCAUGAAUAUUUCACCAGAGAUGGCUUUGUUGAAAAGUUCUUACCAGAACUAAAAAGCAAAUUACUACAAGAAACAAAGCUGAGUUUUCUUUCAAAAUUCAGAGACAAUAAUAAAGACACUGAGCAAAUCAAGGAUGAAAAGAGAACAAUUAAUACUAAUGUACCUCAAAAUGGCCCAAUAGUGGUGAAGGAAACAGACAAAGAGAAAAAGACAAAGGAGAUAAAGGUAAAAGGCAUUAAAAUGAAAGUGGGGAAAUCUGAAAUCUCAGAGGUUAAAAGAAAUGAAGAAGAUGUAGUUUCACAGUGGGCUGCUCUGUCUCAGAACUCUCUAAACCCUCCUCAUGAGAACAAAUCCACAGGCAGUGAUGGCACUACCCUGGCAGUAGCUGGCUCUGAUGCUGGUGGGAUAAAGGAAGAUUCUCCGCAAACACCUUCUAUGACAAUGCCACGCAUCCACCCAAACUGUGGAAAUAUUACAGUAAAUUUCAGUCCACACUUCCUGUGUCCUAAUUCAAGACUACCUGAAAAAGGAAAGAAAAGGCGAAGUCCUUGGCCAGCAGUGGGACAUGUGGGUCCAAAUAACCAUCAAGAAGAAGGAACUAUAACUCAAAACCAAAUAGAGAAAGUCUCCCUAUAUGAAAGAGCUGCUCAGAUUGAUCAAAUGGUCAACAUAAACAGGAAAAAACGGAAUAUUUCAAGAUGUGAGAAGAGAGACAUUCAUUUCCCAGAGUUAGCAACAACAGGGCAACAGAAAGAACUGAAAGGAAUGGAAAUUAAACAGGUGAGAGUGCUGAAGAGGGAGUCAAAAAAAUGUGAAGUGUCUAAAAUACCAUCUUUACUGAAUGUGGAUCAGAAUCGUGAUAAACAAGAGAACACAGAGAAUACAGGAAAUUUACAGAAUGAAUGAAAACAAGCCAAGUUUGCCUGUAUAACAGCAUGCCUCUUGGGAAGAUGUUAGAAUGCCUGGAGAAUUCAAAGAAGCUCACUGAUAUUUGUUAAUCCAACACAAAGUGAAGGCAGUCCCCCCCCUUUUGAUUUUCUA